CCAUAGCCCCGAUAGGAACGGCAUCCUUUUUUGUUAUUGCGAUGGGUAAUGGUUCAACAGAUUGUUUCACUUCGUUCGCAAUAACAAAAAAGAUAUAGUGGAUAGCGGGAUUAAGC
rnacentral:sRNA from 1 species